AGAGUUUGAUCCUGGCUCAGGACGAACGCUGGCGGCGUGCCUAAUACAUGCAAGUCGAGCGAACAAGGAAGAAACUUGUUUCUUCCUUUGUUAGCGGCGGAUGGGUGAGUAACACGUGGGCAACCUGCCCUGCAGUUGGGGAUAACUCCGGGAAACCGGGGCUAAUACCGAAUAAUCAGUUCCUUCGCAUGAAGGAACUCUGAAAGACGGCUAUGCUGUCACUGCAGGAUGGGCCCGCGGCGCAUUAGCUAGUUGGUGAGGUAACGGCUUACCAAGGCGACGAUGCGUAGCCGACCUGAGAGGGUGAUCGGCCACACUGGGACUGAGACACGGCCCAGACUCCUACGGGAGGCAGCAGUAGGGAAUCUUCCACAAUGGACGAAAGUCUGAUGGAGCAACGCCGCGUGAGCGAAGAAGGUUUUCGGAUCGUAAAGCUCUGUUGUGAGGGAAGAACAAGUACAGGAGUAACUGCCUGUACCUUGACGGUACCUCAUUAGAAAGCCACGGCUAACUACGUGCCAGCAGCCGCGGUAAUACGUAGGUGGCAAGCGUUGUCCGGAAUUAUUGGGCGUAAAGCGCGCGCAGGCGGCCUUUUAAGUCUGAUGUGAAAGCCCACGGCUUAACCGUGGAAGGUCAUUGGAAACUGGAAGGCUUGAGUACAGAAGAGGAAAGCGGAAUUCCACGUGUAGCGGUGAAAUGCGUAGAGAUGUGGAGGAACACCAGUGGCGAA
rnacentral:rRNA from 1 species